rnacentral:rRNA from 1 species
GACGAACUUUGGCGGCGUGCUUAACACAUGCAAGUCGAACGGAAAGGCCCUGCUUUUGUGGGGUGCUCGAGUGGCGAACGGGUGAGUAACACGUGAGUAACCUGCCCUUGACUUUGGGAUAACUUCAGGAAACUGGGGCUAAUACCGGAUAGGAGCUCCUGCUGCAUGGUGGGGGUUGGAAAGUUUCGGCGGUUGGGGAUGGACUCGCGGCUUAUCAGCUUGUUGGUGGGGUAGUGGCUUACCAAGGCUUUGACGGGUAGCCGGCCUGAGAGGGUGACCGGCCACAUUGGGACUGAGAUACGGCCCAGACUCCUACGGGAGGCAGCAGUGGGGAAUAUUGCACAAUGGGCGGAAGCCUGAUGCAGCAACGCCGCGUGCGGGAUGACGGCCUUCGGGUUGUAAACCGCUUUCGCCUGUGACGAAGCGUGAGUGACGGUAAUGGGUAAAGAAGCACCGGCUAACUACGUGCCAGCAGCCGCGGUGAUACGUAGGGUGCGAGCGUUGUCCGGAUUUAUUGGGCGUAAAGGGCUCGUAGGUGGUUGAUCGCGUCGGAAGUGUAAUCUUGGGGCUUAACCCUGAGCGUGCUUUCGAUACGGGUUGACUUGAGGAAGGUAGGGGAGAAUGGAAUUCCUGGUGGAGCGGUGGAAUGCGCAGAUAUCAGGAGGAACACCAGUGGCGAAGGCGGUUCUCUGGGCCUUUCCUGACGCUGAGGAGCGAAAGCGUGGGGAGCGAACAGGCUUAGAUACCCUGGUAGUCCACGCUGUAAACGGUGGGUACUAGGUGUGGGGUCCAUUCCACGGGUUCCGUGCCGUAGCUAACGCUUUAAGUACCCCGCCUGGGGAGUACGGCCGCAAGGCUAAAACUCAAAGGAAUUGACGGGGCCCCGCACAAGCGGCGGAGCAUGCGGAUUAAUUCGAUGCAACGCGUAGAACCUUACCUGGGUUUGACAUGGAUCGGGAGUGCUCAGAGAUGGGUGUGCCUCUUUUGGGGUCGGUUCACAGGUGGUGCAUGCCUGUCGUCAGCUCGUGUCGUGAGAUGUUGGGUUAAGUCCCGCAACGAGCGCAACCCUUAUUCACUGUUGCCAGCACGUUAUGGUGGGGACUCAGUGGAGACCGCCGGGGUCAACUCGGAGGAAGGUGGGGAUGACGUCAAGUCAUCAUGCCCCUUAUGUCCAGGGCUUCACGCAUGCUACAAUGGCUGGUACAGAGAGUGGCGAGCCUGUGAGGGUGAGCGAAUCUCGGAAAGCCGGUCUCAGUUCGGAUUGGGGUCUGCAACUCGACCUCAUGAAGUCGGAGUCGCUAGUAAUCGCAGAUCAGCAACGCUGCGGUGAAUACGUUCCCGGGGCU